rnacentral:rRNA from 1 species
GAACGCUGGCGGCGUGCCUAAUACCUGCAAGUCGAGCGACCAGACGAGGAGCUUGCUCCUCUGACGUUAGCGGCGGACGGGUGAGUAACACGUGGAUAACCUACCUAUAAGACUGGGAUAACUUCGGGAAACCGGAGCUAAUACCGGAUAAUAUAUUGAACCGCAUGGUUCAAUAGUGAAAGACGGUUUUGCUGUCACUUAUAGAUGGAUCCGCGCCGCAUUAGCUAGUUGGUAAGGUAACGGCUUACCAAGGCAACGAUGCGUAGCCGACCUGAGAGGGUGAUCGGCCACACUGGAACUGAGACACGGUCCAGACUCCUACGGGAGGCAGCAGUAGGGAAUCUUCCGCAAUGGGCGAAAGCCUGACGGAGCAACGCCGCGUGAGUGAUGAAGGUCUUCGGAUCGUAAAACUCUGUUAUUAGGGAAGAACAAAUGUGUAAGUAACUAUGCACGUCUUGACGGUACCUAAUCAGAAAGCCACGGCUAACUACGUG